AGUAGAAGGGAAGCUCAGAGUAGGUGUUAGUAUCCUCUCUCCAGCAGGGAGUGCUGGUAAAGGGUGGAGAGAGAGAUACUGGGAAGCUAGGGGGUGGAGUGAGCUCCUGUGAAGGCAUGUGACUGAAUGUGACCUGGCUGGAGGGCUGCAUCAUGAGAAGAAAUGGCUUGCUGCCGGGUUGGACCAGCUGUUGGCAGGGGGCACUCAAGAAGAGGAGCCAGCUAUGUGAUGCCCAGCCAUGAGGGGGAGCACCAGGUGUCUGGAGUGGAGCUGUGGUGAGUGGGUUUUCCCACCGAGGCCUUUGAAGAGCACCUAUGGUAUUUAUCAGGGAGCUCCUCGCUCCUGGGGACAGCCCUUGGAAUAAGGAAGCCCAGGAGGGGUGUGAUGAGGUAAAAUUUCCAAGUAUAAAGCCUGGUGGUGGAGCACUUUCCUGAAAACCUGGGAUUGUGAUGGGGAGCUCAGUGUAAGUCUCUUUGAAAAGAGGAGGAAGGAUGACCUUGUGGCAAAUAGACAAGAAAGAGACUCCAGAGACUUGGCUGCUACAGACCUCCUGUGUGGACUGGGAUGAGUGAGCUAGACCUGUGUGCAGAAGUGCCAAACACUUGCAAUUCGCAUUGAGCAGCUGGGAGUUGUGGGUACUCAAUGCUUCCCUAAAUCAAGCCCUAGGCCUCCCCUUGCCUCAGUUCUCACCUAGGUAAAAUAGCAAUAAUGCUCCCUUGCCUCAUGAGUGGGAAGCACCAGUAAUGUUACGGUGAGGAGUGCCAUACUUGUCCUCCCAGGCAUAAGUUGGGAAGCAAAGGAGGAAUUGAAACUCUCUAAAUCAGUGCUUCUUGACCUUUCCCGACUACUGUACCCCUUUCAGGAGUUGGUUUUGUCUUAU